GUAGCAAGGGCUUAAAGGCUGAGGUGUCCAUAAGGGCGGGUUCUUGUGUUUUCAGUCAGCUGCUUAGCCAGGGAAACGGAGCGGAGUGGAACCGCGGUGAGUUUGAAUUGUUUGGCACGCUGUUGUACUAGGCCAGCAUUAGCUGCCUCAUCAUGGGUUAUGGCACAAAUCUGUUCGUUCUUGUAGAUUACAGAUGAGUGUUGGCGGCCAGUGUGCUGGCGUUCCGUAUGUUGAAGGGUUUGUGUACAGUCACCAGUAAUAAAAUCACGGAAGCGUCUCUGGGUUUAACGCCGGUAGGUAUGCUUCCCUUAAAGAGUGUGGUUUUGAUGUGAGCCUUGAGAUAUGCAGUGUUAUGAUUUUUAUUAUGAUCUAUGUUGUAGAAUGGGCGUGUAACUAGAACGAAUCUCGAUAUCCGCUGGGAACUCUCUCUCACUCUCGCGGCCAGGUGCGUAUAACCAACAAAGCAUUGAGACGGUCCCCCUGCUCUGCGCGCUGAGAAUAUUAAUAUCAAAUGUUUUUCAACAGACUGUGCUGGUGUUACAGGGUGUUUAUAUACUGUAAUUGCUGCUGUGUGCUUGGGCGGAUGGCCUAGCCAAAGUAGGUAUUUGUUAGCCUGAUUAUCUAAUUAACUGUUAGACUUUGGCCUUGCAAAGACUCCUCCUUAUUCUAUGUGUAGCCCGUUGUUAUACCAUGUCCCGUGCGCCCCGUUAUACGUGUGCACUGGCUUCUGUGCGCUCCGCCGUCUGUGUGUGUCUGUUCACACAAGGUUAUUAGAAGCCUUUUGUGAAUGAACCCCGUCUCUCGUCUUGUUUACUUUGUUUGGACAUCCAGCCACUGUUUUCUCAUGUAUGAAACUUAUGUAUGUUUUUAUCAUUGAUUGAUACCAUGCCUAUGAACUUAUAGGGUUAAUGUCAAGCUCUUCCGGUCAUUAAUCUUUUACCAUUGAGAUAAAUUGUUGUGUUUGGGCAGUGUGCAAUAUUACGGGGGGGACAGGGGAAAGUGCCAGUGGGCAUGUGCAAUUUGGAUAGCUUUAGCUGAUCAUCAUAGUAGCACUCACGCACUUUACUUGUUCUCAAAUUUAAGUGGCCAUUGCUUGGGUUCUCGUAGCUAGUGGGCGGAGCUCAGUGCUCAAUGUAUUAAGGUGACCACUGUGUGGUGUGAUUUAGAAUUUGUGUGUACUAACAAAGCACUUUAUGGUUAAUGCGGUGUAGCCUUGGUUGCUGUCUUUGGUGUGCUGAAUCCUUUUGGAGCCUUGUGCUCAUGAUGAACUAAAUGUGGAUUUCCGGUCAACAUUGAGUACUGUGGUCCGGCCCAAGAUUUAGUGUAAAUAUCUCCUAUGAAGGCUUGUCUACGAGAACUCAUGUAUGUGUCCAUGAUGUGUUACUACCAUUAAUGUUGUUCCUGUACGAAGCACCUAUGUUAAUAACUCUGCAGACCAUAAAUAAAUUAUGUCUACAUUGCUUUUGCUA